rnacentral:rRNA from 1 species
AGAGUUUGAUCCUGGCUCAGAAUGAACGCUGGCGGCAUGGAUUAGGCAUGCAAGUCGAACGGGGCCCUCCGGGGCCCAGUGGCGGAAGGGUGAGUAACACGUGAGCAACCCGCCCCCAAGGCCGGAACAAGCGCUGGAAACGGCGUCUGAAACCGGAUGAGGACCCCCCUCGCAUGUGGGGGCGUCCAAAUAUUCAUACCCUGGGGAUGGGCUCGCGGCCCAUUAGCUUGUCGGCGGGGCAACGGCCCACCGAGGCGACGACGGGUAGGUGGUCUGAGAGGAUGGUCACCCACACUGGGACUGAGACACUGCCCAGACUCCUGCGGGAGGCUGCAGUCGAGAAUCUUCCGCAAUGGGCGCAAGCCUGACGGAGCGAUGCCGCGUGAGGGACGGAGGCCUUCGGGUCGUGAACCUCUGUCGCCCGGGACGAUAGUGACGGUACCGGGAAAGGAAGCCACGGCUAACCACGUGCCAGCAGCCGCGGUAACACGUGGGUGGCGAGCGUUAUUCGGAUUCACUGGGCGUAAAGGGUCCGCAGGGGGCCCGGCGCGCCCGCCGUGAAACGCCAAGGCCCAACCUUGGCCCUGCGGCGGGUACGGCCGGGCUUGAGCGCGCGAUGGGCAGACGGAACUCCGGGUGUAGCGGUGGAAUGCGUGGAUAUCCGGAAGAACACCGACGGCGAAGGCGGUCUGCUGGCGCGCGACUGACCCUCAGGGACGAGAGCGUGGGUAGCGAACAGGAUUAGAUACCCUGGUAGUCCACGCCGUAAACGUUGUGUGCCAGGCGUGCCGCGGUCGGCCCGUGGCGCGUCCAAGCCAACGCGGUAAGCACACCGCCUGGGGACUACGGCCGCAAGGCUAAAACUCAAAGGAAUUGACGGGGGCCCGCACAAGCGGUGGAGCAUGUUGCUUAAUUCGAGGCAACGCGAAGAACCUUACCCAGGCUUGACAUCCGGGGCACCGCCCUGAAAGGGGCGUCCCAGCAAUGGGCCCCGAGACAGAUGCUGCAUGGCUGUCGUCAGCUCGUGCCGUGAGGUGUUCGGUUAAGUCCGGCAACGAGCGCAACCCAUGCCGCCAGUUACCAUCGGGUAAUGCCGGGGACUCUGGCGGGACCGCCCGUGUCAAGCGGGAGGAAGGCGUGGACGACGUCAAGUCCGUAUGGCUCCUACGCCUGGGGCCGCAAACGUGCUACAAUGGCGGGUACAGAGCGCAGCGGGUCCGCGAGGCCCCGCGAACCGCGAAAGCCCGCCCCAGUUCGGAUUGCAGCCUGCAACUCGGCUGCAUGAAGCCGGAAUCGCUAGUAAAGGGGCAUCAGCCACGGCCCCUUGAAUACGUUCCCGGGCCUUGUACACACCGCCCGUCACAUCAUGGGAGCCGACCAUACCCGAAGGCGCCGGGCCGACCCGCGAGGGGGGCAGUCGACGAAGGUAGGGCCGGUGACUGGGAUGAAGUCGUAACAAGGUAGCCGUUGGGGAACCAGCGGCUG